CAUCCUGGGUUUGUAGAACAGUUCCUGGCAAUAUAAAAAAAUUUCAGUCAUGCUAGUUUGUUUCUCAACAUACGCCUCUUACGACCUUUCAAAACAUAUAUACACCCUUAAACUCACAGAUCCUGUUUUUGGUUUUCAGUCGUUAUGAAACGCUCUCCUCUGAUGGUUCAAUACCCCCAAAUAAAGUCACACCUUUGUAGUUAUGGCAACAUGGCACUGAGUUUGCACGUCUGUGCAUCCGCUGUGUUCCUCGCGAAUGACACAAUGACUACUGUUGUCAACUGGUGAAAACCAUGACACAGUUCUCGCCAUGAUGACCACAGGAACUGAGACACGCCUGCAGAACAACCAACAAAAACAAAGGCACUCUGGGAAAGACUGGGAAUGGGGGUGGGGGGUGCAAGGCGUGCGUGUCUCAAAACACAGAUUGGUCCAAUCAGUGUGCGCUGAGGUCAUCAUGGU